rnacentral:rRNA from 1 species
AUUGAACGCUGGCGGCAGGCCUAACACAUGCAAGUCGAACGAGUGGCGGACGGGUGAGUAAUGUAUGGGGAUCUGCCCGAUAGAGGGGGAUAACUACUGGAAACGGUGGCUAAUACCGCAUACUAUCGGAUGAACCCAUAUGGGAUUAGCUAGUAGGUGGGGUAAAGGCUCACCUAGGCGACGAUCUCUAGCUGGUCUGAGAGGAUGAUCAGCCACACUGGGACUGAGAUACGGCCCAGACGCCUACGGGAGGCAGCAGUGGGGGAUAUGGCACAAUGGGCGAAAGCCUGAUGCAGGGGCGCCGCGUGGGGGAUGAAGGCUUUCGGGUUGUAAACCUCUUUCGCUAUCGAACGGGUAGGUGGAGAAGAAGCGCCGGCUAACUACGUGCCAGCAGCCGCGGUAAUUC